CGGAAUCUGCCUAUUUGUGGGGGAUAACGUAGGGAAACUUACGCUAAUACCGCAUACGACCUACGGGUGAAAGCGGAGGACCUUCGGGCUUCGCGCAGAUAGAUGAGCCGAUGUCGGAUUAGCUAGUUGGCGGGGUAAUGGCCCACCAAGGCGACGAUCCGUAGCUGGUCUGAGAGGAUGAUCAGCCACACUGGAACUGAGACACGGUCCAGACUCCUACGGGAGGCAGCAGUGGGGAAUAUUGGACAAUGGGCGCAAGCCUGAUCCAGCCAUGCCGCGUGGGUGAAGAAGGCCUUCGGGUUGUAAAGCCCUUUUGUUGGGAAAGAAAAGCAGUCGGUUAAUACCCGAUUGUUCUGACGGUACCCAAAGAAUAAGCACCGGCUAACUUCGUGCCAGCAGCCGCGGUAAUACGAAGGGUGCAAGCGUUACUCGGAAUUACUGGGCGUAAAGCGUGCGUAGGUGGUUUGUUAAGUCUGAUGUGAAAGCCCUGGGCUCAACCUGGGAAUUGCAUUGGAUACUGGCAGGCUAGAGUGCGGUAGAGGGUAGUGGAAUUCCCGGU
rnacentral:rRNA from 1 species